CCCAGGCGUCUAUCGACUUCAAUGACCCGCCUGUUUCCCUUACGUUAACAAUCAAGUGCACUGACAGGAACGUUCUUAAUGACAUCACGGGGACGUUUAACGUCAACAUUGUCGACUCACCGCCGGUUUUCACCGCACUGCCUGCGACCGGAACUAACAUUUUCGACGGUCUUAAGCACGCCACCGAGACCCUUCACACGUUCAGCGUCACCGAUAGCGACGACGCCGUUAACUGCUCUGCAAGAGUGCCGGAAAACGCCCUUUUUGAAGUGAUUGCCGGUGUCGCAUCAAGGUUUACAAUUAACGUAAAAGCGGGGGUAACGCUAAGAGCAGCGAACGGACCUUACGUCAUCAACGUCGACUGCUCAGAUGGCGACAAUGACGUCACUGCAACGUCACACAACCAGUGAUUGAUACGAAUUUGAAGUCAGGAUCUCUAGCACCGUGACUGAAGCUGCCAUCGACUUCAACGACCAGGCCGUGCCGUUGACGUUAACGAUACGGUGUACUGACGGCAACCCCGUCAACGUCAUCACCGGGACUUUCAACGUCAAUAUCGUUGAUGAGGACCCAGUUCUAACGUCGUUUCCUAUGACGUCAUAUCAGUUCCUAGAAGACACUUCCUUUUCCGCUCUGGAGCUAAACUCAUUCAGCCUUAAAGAUUCUGAUGACGUCAUAUCUGCUUGAUGUCAUCUGUCAAAUCUGAAAACCAACGUCAAAGCGUUUCAGAUUUGGUACAAGGGACGCCCGCGAGCGUCCUUGAACUAUGACGUCACGCCCGUUCAUAACAUCGGGAUUAUUUGCGACGACGGCAAAGUCUUUAGCGCGAGAUAUUAUUACGCAGUGGAUCUGGAAAACAACCCUCCGGUGUUUGUUAACCUUCCUGCGGUUACUUUACGUCAAUAACGGAGUCAGUGACGUCUAAAACAUUGCUAUAUUCUCUCACAGUAUCGGACCUAGGCGUUCCACCAUGUUACUUGAGCUAUACUGCGUUUGCCGCGGGCAUUCUACCCUUGGAGCAAAGUACUGUGACACCGCAAAAUACUCAGUACCUGGUGUACGCCCAUAAUCCGCGCGGAUUCGAUUUCAAAAGUUCCGGAGCCGUGAACGCCGAGAACACGUGCGGCGACUCCGUGUCCACCGUCAGAGAGACGCUGAUUGUGAAUAUCAUCAAUACGGCACCGGUGAUUACUAAUCCUGGGGGCUCUAGCGACGUCGCCGAGGACGUCAGCGGAACGUUGACGUUAAAGACGUUGGAUUUUGUUACUUUGGAGUAGUCUGAUGCCACCUGCUCAUUGACGAGCGCUGACGGAGGAUCAUUCGCCGUCACUGGAAGCCUCUUUAUCAAAAAUCCAGUUCAGGUGGACAGUGUCGUCCCUGAUAAGCCUGUGGGAACUGCAUAGGCUGAUCUGAGAUGACGCUUUAGCACGUGCAUUAAGUCCAGUUUUCGCAGAAAGAGACGUAUAUAAGCUCACGCACAGACGUCUUUCAGGCAACCAAAUCGUAAAGACGGCUGGAGCUCUGGACUUUGAGACAAAGGCAACGUAUAAUCUUGACGUCACGUGCACUGACGACCUUCUUCAAACCACGGAUACUUACGUCGUCAAAGUCCAAAACGUCGUUCCAAAGAUAACGAGUUUGCCGACGGCGUCUACUCUGGACGAGUGGCAGACUGCGGAAAAGCUACUCACGACGUUGACGUUAGCGGAGGACGCGGCUGACUGCGUUUAAACGUCACCGACUAUGGGUGAUCUACUACGUCAGCGAGGCGGUUGCGGGGCGGUCGCUUAGCUACGACACGAACCCCUUUUACAACCUGCACAUUGAGUACAGCGACGCCGCGGGGGUCAAAGGGGCGGAGAAGAUUUUCACCGUCCAUAUUAACGAUAACAAAGCACCGACGAGCGACAACCUUAGCAGUAAGCCGAACAACAUAUGCUUGAUUAAGGACGCCUUGCGAGAAUUCUUCAGCGUUAUUUAGAUACUUUAAAAAUAAAUUCUAGCAUUACUUAUAUAGUAUUGUAUCAACUUUGAUCCAUCUUUGUAUUGCGCAUUAUGUCUUUUUGUUUGCCAAACGACGUUACUUUACUGUAUUACGUUGACGUCACUUCUUGUGUUUAUGCUUCGAAUCAUACUACUGAUGACAGCUAUGGCCGAAACAUGAUUUAUGUUUAAGAUAUCC